GUGUUUGCAUCCCGGUGUCUCCUGCGCUUCAGAUCCCUUCAGGUUUUCGAGUCGUUUGGUGCUGCAGGCUGUGCCACCGUCGUAGUAUUUUGCUGUUUUCUUGUUUUAUUUUGUUUGUUUGUUCUUCUUGUCAGACAUGAGUACCAAGAGGACGAGCUUCCCCCGCUAAGCACAGUCUGUCUAAGCCCCUUUCCAAGCCUCUUCCUCCUGUACUUUGCCCUGACAAAGCGCGGCCGCGGUGCGUUUGCUGCCUGCUUGGUCGCCACCUCGUCCCCCUCGUUACGCCAACUGAUUACCCGCCUGUUCGGUUAGUCGGUGGGCCGGCCGGCCGGCCAGGAGGGAGGGAGUCCGCAUCACCCCUCAUCUAGAGAUCUGAAUCUCCUCUGCGGGGUCUCGUUUGCUUCUUCUCUCCCAACACCCAGCCGGGCUUCCUGCGGCUCUCCAUGUUGGCGGCAGUGGCCGCCUCGCUGGCUGCACUCAUCCGUUGGAGCCGCGGCGCUUUGCUGGCCAAACUGUCGGUCAGCUGGCAGGAGGGGGUUCGCCGCGUUACCGGAGUCAUGGACUGUCGUCCUCUUUAGUAGUCACUUAGUCGCUGGGAAACGAGAAGAUUUCCUCCGAGCAGGUCGGGUUGCUCCCAGUUGAACAGAGGCGGCGGAGGCACCUCGGGACACCGCAUCACGCGAAGGCGGCGAGGGCAGCGAAGAAGAGCCAUGUCGGAGGACAACAAUGUGGACAGAUUCAUCAAGGAGACCUCCAUCUUAGAGGAGUACAACAUCAACUGGACACAGAAGCUGGGUGCUGGGAUCAGUGGGCCUGUCAGGGUUUGCGUGAAGAAGUCAACGCAGGAGCGGUUUGCACUCAAGAUCCUCAUCGACCGGCCCAAAGCCCGUAAUGAGGUACGACUCCACAUGAUGUGUGCAAUUCAUCCAAACAUCGUACAGAUUGUGGAAGUCUACGCCAACAGCGUGCAAUUCCCUCACGAGUCCAGUCCACGGGCCCGGCUGCUUAUCGUGAUGGAGAUGAUGGAAGGUGGAGAGCUGUUUCACAGAAUCAGCCAACACAGACACUUUACAGAAAAAAUGGCCAGCCAAGUAACCAAACAGAUUGCUCAGGCUCUCCAGCACUGUCACUCACUAAACAUCGCUCACAGAGACCUCAAGCCCGAGAACCUGCUCUUCAAAGACAAUUCUUUGGAUGCUCCGGUUAAGCUCUGUGAUUUUGGGUUUGCCAAAAUUGACCAGGGUGACUUGAUGACACCCCAGUUCACGCCUUACUACGUAGCACCUCAGGUCCUGGAGGCUCAGAGGAGACAUCAAAAAGAGAAGUCUGGAAUAAUACCUACCUCACCCACUCCGUACACGUACAACAAAAGCUGUGACUUGUGGUCCUUGGGCGUGAUCAUCUACGUGAUGCUGUGCGGAUAUCCACCAUUUUACUCCAAACACCACAGCCGCACCAUCCCUAAGGACAUGCGCAAGAAGAUCAUGACGGGAAGCUUUGAGUUUCCCGAAGACGAAUGGAGCCAGAUCUCUGAGAUGGCUAAGGACAUUGUGAGAAAGCUGCUAAAAGUAAAACCUGAAGAGAGACUUACCAUUGAGGAGGUGCUGGCUCACCCCUGGUUAAACUGCACAGAAGCUUUGGACAAUAUUCUUCCAUCGGCACAGAUGAUGAUGGAUAAGGCUGUGGUGGCUGGGAUUCAGCAGGCCCACGCCGAACAGCUCGCCAACAUGAGGAUCCAAGAUCUGAAUGUGAGCCUCAAGCCUCUCAACUCUGUCAACAACCCGAUCCUGCGCAAACGCAAGCUGCUGGGCACAAAACCCAAGGAUGGCUUCUUCAUCCAUGACCCAGAGAAUGGGACGGAAGACUCUAAUGUGGCCUUGGAGAAGCUGAGGGACGUCAUCGCACAGUGCAUCCUGCCCCAGGCUGGAGAGAACGAAGACGAGAAGCUGAACGAGGUGAUGCGCGAGGCGUGGACGUUCAACAAGGACUGCAAGCUGCUGCGAGACACGCUUCAGAGUCUCAGCUGGAACGGGUGGACUUUCUCAGACAAAGUUGACCGUUUGAAACUGGCGGAAAUCGUGAAGCAGGUCAUUGAGGAGAAAACCAACCUGCAGGAUUCCCAGUAGCAAAAGUCUCCUGGUUUUAAUAACGUUUUAAUCUGUACGAAAAGAAAGUGUUAACUGAGAAGAGAAUUUUUAUGGUAUUUACGGAAGACGCUCCCUUGAUGGAUUUUGCUUUCGGCGGUUGUACAGCUGUAGAUGUUGGUACUGUAAUAUUUAACAAAAAGAAAAGGAAAACCUUGAACUCAAGGAAUGGCGUUUGCUUUGUCACCGGAAUGCUGCGUCCUCAAGCACUCGAUGGCUGACGGGAGCCUAGAGGACUGUCCGUAGCGGUGUUACUCUUCUUGAACAGAUUUUUGUGUGUUCGCUUGUCUAAUUCGGGAAGCCGAGGCGAGGGACAGCUGCUUUUCUUUUAUUUUUUGGCCAUCUGUUAAAAUCCACGAGUGGCAAGAGUUGAAGUGAGGGAAAAAUCUCAAUUGGGGGAGCCUGUGGUGAGCAAGGCCGCUCACGGGUUACUUGGGUAUGUGGCCGGAGUGUGGAGCCCCCCAACCUUAGGAGCAAGUCGCGUCCUUCUUGUCGGCCGUCACGUUCCAGUUGGACACGCGGAGCUGGGAGUAAAGAUUGGGGACAAAGCCUACUGACGCUUGGAGGCCUGAGCCUUUUAGUUAAAUUCAUAUUUAUUGUCACGUGUAAGUCAUCAUGGUGGGCACGUCAUUUGUUGGAUCGAGUGGCGGCACUUGGCGUCAUUUAACUCAGUUGUUCAAAUUUGUGUGCAGCUUACCAAAAUUCAGCUCUCUGCUCCACACACCCACGAGAAUGGUGGCACCCCUUAAAACGUCACCCAUUUUCUGGAAGUCGACUGGUAUGUUUGCUUUGUCGUUAGCAGCUAACUGGAAACCCUACUCUCUCGGAGGGGCUGGCUGGGUCUUUGGUACUCACAGUGGCCUCGAAGUCCACCUGUGGCUGCCAGUGUCAUCGAUGAGUCGAGGCCUGCUUGGCAUGCUGGUAUUUUUUCACUUGUACCUCUCGAGCAGCGCUGAUUGUGUUGGCCGAUGUUGGUGUUUAGGAAUUCCCUCUGGUGUGCUAAAUAUUUAUUUUUUCGUGACUGACACCACAAAUAGUUGCUUUCCAUUUGUUUGGACCCGUGUCUGCUCCACUCGUCACCGGCAGACAAGGGACAACAGAAUCAGUUUGAAUUAUCUAAAACGUAAAAAUCUGCGCACCUCCCACUCUGGGGCCUUUUCUUAAUAAGGAAUUGGAGCAAGGGGUGACCAGUGGGCUUCAAAAUGCAAACUCGCCUUUUGAGGAAAUGCUGUUGUGCCCUCCCGACUGACUUUAUAGACCCCCUAAUCCCCCAUUCCAGGCCUUGUGUUUUGGCCCCCGACAGCUUUUUGAACCGUCACGGCUUUCUCCUCUGAGUUGACCUGCUGGUCCGUGAGGAGGAUAAGGGCAGGUGUUUAAGCGACCCGUGUGCCCCUUGUGUCCCUUUUUUGAUUUUUCCGUUGGGUCUAAAUGCAGAGAUGAGUCUCGGACCCGAGAUUAACUCCCCGAGUCAUUGAAUCGUCUGUUCUUAAAUCUCAUUUUGUGUCACUUGCAUGCACACCUUCUUCAUUUGCCAUUCCCAUCUGAUCGGAUUCUUUUUGGCUCCCGUUCCAGUUCGGGUGUCUCCGACUUGUUCUUCCCCGGGGUUUUCUUCAUUUCUACCGGACUUCACUUUGCACAGUUGACUGAGACGUGUUACAGAGCAUUCUGGGAUAGCUCGGGUCGAGGCAGGAGCUUCUACAUGGUAGUGCGGCCAGUUUAUUGUAAGGGAGAGGUUGGCGGUGCUCUGCGUGCCAAAUUUGUUACAAGUUCCUGGGUGGAGGAGACGAGACCCCCGACUACAAACUCCUCUGAAGUGAAAGCCAGCAGCCACACGGUGGGGGGCCGGGGACUGCGUUUUGUUUUCAGAUUGGAAAGUCAGAGCUGAAAGUUGACAUCCGAGGGUGACUCCGACUUGUUUCUGCAGUGUGGUCUGUUGAAGGUUUAUUUGUAGUCAUUUUACAUGUUGGUGAGUCACAUCAGGCCGCUACAUUGAGACAGAGGUGGGUGGGCAGGUUUGCAGUGCGGUGCUAGCCCCCCCAGUUAUCUCCAUCAAAUACAUAUAUCACUCUCGGUUUAACCCCAUAUUGACUUUUACUCAGGGCUUGUGUACAAAAUCCCUGUGUGGUGCGGUUUGGUGACAUGUGGCUGUGUUGCACACCGGGCAGUCCGUUCCCUGGGGUAGGACGUGAGGUGGGCGUCCAGUAAAAAUGGGUAACGUGAGGUGGUGUUUUUGCAAAUCCAUUUGCCUGCCCAGUCGGUACUGAAAGGCCAGGCGGGGACUGGGAGCAGACUUGGAGAGUAGGCCUCCCCUUUAAACUCUCCCAUUUAUUUUUACUUGCCGUUCUUAACUUGGCCACGAGGUGGCGGCCUUGAGUUUGUGAGGGUCUCUGCUGU